AUGCGAGUUGAUGGGAUACCUAAAUAUCCCAUAGCAAACUGCUCAGUAACACAUGAUCAACUUACCCUAUGGAGAAAAAUAACCUCGGGAAACUGAGGAUAAUGUUUCAUAGUUGAAUAGGCUUGGAAAAGUUUUUCAAUGAAAGGGAUAAGAAAAAUGGUUCUUAUUUGCCAUAGGAUAGGAUCGUGGUCGAUUAUGGUUGUUGGUGAGGUAACGGCUCACCAAGCCGAUAAUCGAUAGGGGCCGUGAGAGCGGGAGCCCCGAGAUGGGUACUGAGACAACGACCCAGGCCUUACGAGGCGCAGCAGGUGCGGAACCUCCGCAAUACACGAAAGUGUGACGGGGUUACCCAAAGUGUUCAUUAUUGAACUGUGGUAGGUGAGUAAUGUCCCCUACUAGAAAGGAGAGGGCAAGGCUGGUGCCAGCCGCCGCGGUAAAACCAGCUCUUCAAGUGGUCGGGAUGAUUAUUGGGCUUAAAGUGUCCGUAGCCGGUUUAGUAAGUUCCUGGUAAAAUCGGGUAGCUUAACUAUCCGUAUGCUAGGAAUACUGCUAUACUAGAGGGCGGGAGAGGUCUGAGGUACUAUAGGGGUAGGGGUGAAAUCCUAUAAUCCUUAUAGGACCACCAGUGGCGAAGGCGUCAGACUGGAACGCGCCUGACGGUGAGGGACGAAAGCCAGGGGAGCGAACCGGAUUAGAUACCCGGGUAGUCCUGGCCGUAAACGAUGCAUACUAGGUGAUGGCACGGCCAUGAGCCGUGUCAGUGCCGUAGGGAAACCGUUAAGUGUGCCGCCUGGGAAGUACGGUCGCAAGGCUAAAACUUAAAGGAAUUGGCGGGGGAGCACCACAAGGGGUGAAGCCUGCGGUUCAAUUGGAUUCAACGCCGGAA
rnacentral:rRNA from 1 species